GAUGAACGCUAGCGGCAGGCCUAACACAUGCAAGUCGAGGGGUAGAACACUUCGGUGUUUGAGACCGGCGCACGGGUGCGUAACGCGUAUGCAAUCUACCUUGUACAGGGGAAUAGCCCAGAGAAAUUUGGAUUAAUGCCCCAUAGUAUAUAACCUUCGCAUGUUGGUUAUAUUAAAUUUCCAUCGUUAAAAGAUGAGCAUGCGUCCCAUUAGUUAGUUGGGAAGGUAACGGCUUACCAAGACGAUGAUGGGUAGGGGUCCUGAGAGGGAGAUCCCCCGCACUGGUACUGAGACACGGACCAGACUCCUACGGGAGGCAGCAGUGAGGAAUAUUGGUCAAUGGGCGCAAGCCUGAACCAGCCAUGCCGCGUGCAGGAAGACGGUCCUAUGGAUUGUAAACUGCUUUUAUACAGGAAGAAACCCUCCCACGUGUGGGAGAUUGACGGUACUGUAGGAAUAAGGAUCGGCUAACUCCGUGCCAGCCGCCGCAGUAACAC
rnacentral:rRNA from 1 species